rnacentral:lncRNA from 1 species
AAAACCCAGGUUUACCACAUUAAGAACAUUCCAGAUAUUCCCUUCAGUAACUAUACUGUACCAAGGAAUAUUGCUCAUGAAUACAAAAAUUUGAAUGUAAACAGGAAGUGCUUUGUUCUAGAUGUUGGAGGCAAAAUGGAAUGGAGCUAAAUAAUUUUGUACCUUGAAAUUCUAAAAUGCUUUUAGAGAGAUAUCAGAUACAAGAGUGUACAUAUUUAGUUAUUAGAAGCAUUGUCUUCAACAUGUAUGAAUGAAAUGAUGUAAUCAGAGAUAAUUGAUGGCUUUAGUGACUAUAUAUGCUAUAUGAUGAAAUGAGAUCACAGACAGAGACCCCAUCAAACACUUUACUAAAUGGCUGGAAUGAGGUUCCUGACCCUGGUGAUGGUUUUAGCAAAGCUAAGAGACAUUCUGGUGCCACCUAUAUUGAGCCAACAUAACUCCAAAAAUGAUUUUGUUGUAUUCAUAACUUUCUAUUAAAUAAUUUUUAUAUUUAAUAUAUCUUUUAGUUUAAUUUUUUAGUUAAAGCUAAGUGAAUAUUUAUCAUUCUUAACCAGACAUCCACUUGUCUGAUAUGUAGAUUUGAACAAAUGCCCUGUUACGGUAGGAAGUUCAAGCCACAACUGCCAGGUUAGGCUAAGAAGUGCUGCAUGAUGACAGGUCCUUGGAUGGCAUGGACCCAGUCCACGGAUGGCAUGGACACCAUCCAUGGAUGGCUUAGACACUGGACAAUGUCCAUGGAUGGCAUGGCCACUGUCCAUGGAUAUGCCCUGGACACUGGCCAUGGAUGCCAUGGCCACUGUCCCUGGACAGGCAUGGAUUUUUAUCCAGGGAUACACAGUUUUUGUCCAUGGAUAUGUGUUCCAAUACUCCAUGGACAACAGACCAUGCUGAAAUCCAUGGAAUCCAUGGACAUACUACAGCCG